AAGGACAAAGGAACUGUCCUUCAAUUUUUUCAUCAGUGAAAGUUGUGUAAAUACUUACAGAUGUAAGGGCAAUAUAGACUAAUGCGCUAUACGUAAUGACGCGAUUACCCCUCCGUGUUUUUUGAGUUUCUUUUUGUUUGUGUCGUAGAUUUCAUCAAAACCAGGGGCAAGUAUCUAUCUCCAUUAAUCUUUCUACUGAAACAAAAACGAAGAACAAAAAUUCCUCUCUUGAAUCCUUUCUUCUUCGUCGAACUUUUCAUUUUCAUCAAUUUCCCACUCUAAAUUUCGAUUAAUCUUUACUAGAUUUCGACUUUAGAUUACAGAGUUUGGAUUUGGUUGAUUGAAUAUUCAAUCAUCUCUAUACUGUAACCCUAAAUUCGGAAUUGGGUGAAUUGAUUGAACCACCAUCACCAUCACUAAUUCGUCCUCUGCUUUCUACAUCUAAAUGGGUGAACUGAUUGAAGCACCACCACCAUCACCAACUUCAGUCUCUUCUUUCCACACCGCUACCAUAAAGUCACCAUUAACGGUGUAUUUUGAUUCAAUUCAAUUCAAUUCACAAACCCUAUAUACUCACGAUACAUUCAAUUCGAUUCUUCGUUUUUAACUUAGAAUUGAAUUCUGGAUAUGAGUUGAAGAGUUAAUUAUGGGUAUGGAUUGAAAAUUUCAGUUAAAAGUUAAAACUUAGAAAAUCAAAUCCCUUAAUUUUCAUUUUGGGGUUAACUAUUAAAUUUGUUUUCUUCCACACUUCUAAUCGUUUGUUCAUUUUUGCUGUGGAUUCUUGAAGGAGCCAUGUGUUUAUACAAAAUUAACUGAUCUCUGACUUUCAUGUGUUGAACUUACUCAAGGUUGAGGAGUUCAGGAUACCAACAUUUUUUAUUGCAUUAACAUCUUCUAUUACUAUUGUGGAUGGAUUCACUGACUUGUCAUCCACGAAGAAGUCCGAGACUUACUGAUCUAGCUCCAGUUCUUAGGCUUGAGAUUAUGAAUGGUGUUUACUAAAGUUUAAGAAGGUGUUUUGUGGGAAGUAAGUUGAUCUUUAAUGGUUUAAUUCCAUAUGAAAUUUGCUUUCUUUGGUGGUUUCUAGAAACAUAUCAUGGGUUCAUUCUUAUGAAGGGAUAAACUGGAGGAUGCCAUAAGUGCUGAUGCAAUUCAGAGUAUGACUUUGGAAUGUGAAGUCUUAAGCCUCUAAGAACCAUCUCAAUGAAUAGUAUGUGUAAGUCUUCUAUUCUUCGCAAAGUACUUUUAUCACGCUGCCCCAUGACGAUAACGAAAUAGAGGGCAUAUUUAUCAAUGUCAAUGAAAUGAUAACAACUAACUAAGCAUUUUUUAA